GGGUUAAGUCCCGCAACGAGCGCAACCCUUCGCCUUCAGUUGCCAUCGGGUAAGGUUGGGCACUAUGAAGGAACUGCCGGUGACAAGCCGGAGGAAGGUGGGGAUGACGUCAAGUCCUCAUGGCCCUUAUGGGCUGGGCUACACACGUGCUACAAUGGCGGUGACAACGGGAAGCCAGGUCGCGAGGCCGAGCCAAUCCUGAAAAGCCGUCUCAGUUCGGAUUGCACUCUGCAACUCGGGUGCAUGAAGGUGGAAUCGCUAGUAAUCGCGGAUCAGCAUGCCGCGGUGAAUACGUUCCCGGGCCUUGUACACACCGCCCGUCACAACCAUGGGAGUUGGCUUUACCCUUAAGCC
rnacentral:rRNA from 1 species